rnacentral:lncRNA from 1 species
GGAAGCGCAGGAAUAAGAGGGAGAAAGCCCGGAAGCAAAGCUAACCCAUUGGAGCACCAAAUCUGUGGGUCCUCAUGGCUGGCCAGCAGCCAAGGCCCACCACCCACACCAUCACUUUCUGAGAGAAAGGCUGCCUGUGCCUGGAUGCCACCUUGAGACCACAGGAACGUCCUGUCCCGGCCUCCAAGUAGCUGCUGCCCGCCUUGACCAAGCAGCACUGAGGGACUUUCCCAAACCAAUUCUUGCUGUGUGGUGGAUGACUCAGAACCGUCGCUGUUGUCCAAGCUGAAGUUCUGGUCUCCAGUGUGGCUG